AGCAGCCGCGGUAAUUCCAGCUCCAAUAGCGUAUAUUAAAGUUGUUGCAGUUAAAAAGCUCGUAGUUGAAUUUCGAGAUCAGUACGUUGGUCAUGCUUUUGGUAUGCACUGGCGUCACUGGUUUCUCCCUUCUGAAGAACCGUGAUGUCAUUAAUUUGGUGUUGCGGGGAAUCAGGACUGUUAACUUUGAAAAAUUAGAGUGUUUAAAGCAGGCUCACGCUUGAAUACAUUAGCAUGGAAAUAAUGAAAUAGGACGUUUGAUUCUAUUUUGUUGGUUUCUAGGAUCGACGUAAUGAUUAAUAGGGAUAGUUGGGGGCAUUAGUAUUCAAUUGUCAGAGGUGAAAUUCUUGGAUUUAUUGAAGACUAACUACUGCGAAAGCAUUUGCCUAAGG
rnacentral:rRNA from 1 species